UCACUGGAAGUGAGCACGGUCCAGUUCCUACGGGAGGCAGCAGGGGGAAUAUGCACAAUGGGCGCAAGCUGAUGCAGCCAUGCUGCGUGUAUGAAGAAGGCCUUCGGGUUGUAAAGUACUUUCAGCGAGGAGGAAGGCAUUAAGGUUAAUAACCUUAGUGAUUGACGUUCCUNGCAGAAGAAGCACCGGCUAACUCCGUGCCAGCAGCCGCGGUAUAAGGAGGGUGCAAGCGUUAAUCGGAAUUACUGGGCGUAAAGCGCACGCAGGCGGUUUGUCAAGUCGGAUGUGAAAUCCCCGGGCUCAACCUGGGAACUGCAUUCGAAACUGGCAGGCUAGAGUCUUGUAGAGGGGGGUAGAAUUCCAGGUGUAGCGGUGAAAUGAGUAGAGAUCUGGAGGAAUACCGGUGGCGAAGGCGGCUCCCUGGACAAAGAUUGACGCUCAGGUGCGAAAGCGUGGGGAGCAAA
rnacentral:rRNA from 1 species